GAUUCCAUUUCCAAAGAACUUCCAUCAAAUCUGCAGAAAGAUCCUGUGUCGUCUCUUUCGCGUUUUUGUCCAUGUAUACAUUCAUCAUUUUGAUCGCAUCAUUAUGAUGGGGGCAGAAGCACAUGUCAACACAUGCUAUAAGCAUUUCUACUACUUUGCUACAGAGCUAAAUCUGAUUGACCGCAAGGAACUUGAGCCAUUGAAAGAAAUGACCAUGCGGAUGUGUCACUGAAGCACUGCCUACAGAUACAAGUUGACAUUUAACUCAUGCCAAGAAGGAAAUGGAUCAGAGAAUGUUCCAGCAUCGAUGAAGCAAACCUUUUGCUCCCAAAUGCAGAAUGAAGAAAGCAGAGACAUAAGACUGACCUUAUAGAAUCAUAUUUAAUGAUAUUUUAUAUGAUGUUUGAAAUGGGAAUAUUCAGCAAGCUGAACGGGACACAAGUUACAUUCUGUAAACUGAUAAAAUACUGAUUGAAUCUUCUGUUUACACAGCACAAAAGCUGUUUAUAAUUCUAAGAUGAUGCAGCAUUUGAGUGACACUGCUUCUUCCACAGAGGAGUGGUUUCUUAGAUUGUGAAAAAAAACAUUUUAAUGCAAGAGAUGGUGUCUGCAGUGACCAUUCGGUCAACUUAGCCCAGCUCAUAAGUGUCUAAUAUUAUUUUCAGAUCCUUACGUUAGUUAGAUGACAGAUGGUCAAACCUGCUGGCAUGAUUCUACUACUUCCACAUUUAGAGUUUCCAGUCUGUUUUGAUUUUGGAAACUUCAGCACGUUGCUGCUGUAAGCCUUAAGUCUAUUGCAUAAAAAUCCACUUAUUCCGCAUCUCAGAAGUGCAUUAUUUUUAUAACGAUAUACAUUUUAUACUGUUCUUUCUGAUCACGUGCAAAUUUACUGUAGUGUUUCAGUUACUCCAAUAGUGUAUGUGAGUGUCAGGCUUACAAAGCCAAAUGAGCAGCGGGGACCAUAGGCAACAUUUGUAGCUCAGAACCAAUCAAAUUCCCCACUUCAUCGAGAUCAUCUUUCAAUUUGCCCCGCGCAUGCACACACAAACACAUUGAAAUGAUUUUAAAAUUAUUUAAUUACUUGUUUUUCCUGUAAAGAUUAGUGUUGCAGGAGUGAUGUUUCAGAGGAGCUGCCAUCUGUUAACCGUAAUUGAAUGCUGCUUGAGUGUUCAGACUGGUGUCUGAAUUGACUAACAAGUUUUGUAAGUUUAGCUCACAGUGUGGAAAAUCAUGCUAGUAUAUUUAAUUAAUGUUAGUCUAGAAUUUAGUUUUAAUCUUGUUUCUUGAUUUUUAAUUUUGUCUCUUUUUAAAUAGCUGUUUGAGUUGAAACUGCAUUAAUAUUGGUGGUAACAGUGGACUGUUUUUCUGGUAGUUUGGGGUAUAAAGUUGCAGCCCAUGUGAGACAGAUUUGCAUAGACUAACUCACCUUGUUUUAUUGUCUGCUUAGGCAAGUUAUAUGCCUGCCUUCCAGAACCUGGCUCAUAACAUGUCGCUUUAACAAUGAGUAAAAUAAAAUGCAGCUGUGUACCUUC